rnacentral:rRNA from 1 species
GUAGGUGGCAAGCGUUGUCCGGAAUUAUUGGGCGUAAAGCGCGCGCAGGCGGUUCUUUAAGUCUGAUGUGAAAGCCCACGGCUCAACCGUGGAGGGUCAUUGGAAACUGGAGAACUUGAGUACAGAAGAGGAAAGCGGAAUUCCACGUGUAGCGGUGAAAUGCGUAGAGAUGUGGAGGAACACCAGUGGCGAAGGCGGCUUUCUGGUCUGUAACUGACGCUGAGGCGCGAAAGCGUGGGGAGCAAACAGGGAUUAGAUACCCUGGUAUUCCACGCCGUAAACGAUGAGUGCUAAGUGUUAGGGGGUUUCCGCCCCCUUAGUGCUGCAGCUAACGCAUUAAGCACUCCGCCUGGGGAUACGGCCGCAAGGCUG